rnacentral:rRNA from 1 species
CCUACGAGGGGCUGCAGUGGGGAAUAUUGGACAAUGGGGGCAACCCUGAUCCAGCCAUGCCGCGUGUGUGAAGAAGGCCCUCGGGUUGUAAAGCACUUUCAGUGAGGAAGAACGCCUGGUGGUUAAUACCCAUCAGGAAAGACAUCACUCACAGAAGAAGCACCGGCUAACUCCGUGCCAGCAGCCGCGGUAAUACGGAGGGUGCGAGCGUUAAUCGGAAUUACUGGGCGUAAAGCGCGCGUAGGUGGCUUGAUAAGCCGGUUGUGAAAGCCCCGGGCUCAACCUGGGAACGGCAUCCGGAACUGUCAAGCUAGAGUGCAGGAGAGGAAGGUAGAAUUCCCGGUGUAGCGGUGAAAUGCGUAGAGAUCGGGAGGAAUACCAGUGGCGAAGGCGGCCUUCUGGACUGACACUGACACUGAGGUGCGAAAGCGUGGGUAGCAAACAGGAUUAGAUACCCGUGUAGUC